UCCAGCUAGGAGACAUCUAGUUCCAGCUGGUUAGAGCUGCUUGCAUGUCUUACCUCCUCCCCCUCCCUCUUCCAUAACUCGUGAAUCCAUCUUACCUAGGGACAGAAAGAACAAGUACAAGCUACUUGUUAGAUUCCUUCUCGCUUUGAAUUGAUGCUGACCUCAUCAGGGUCCCUGCUCCAGCUGCCAGCAGAGGUGAGAUGCUUACGACGCAUGGCUCAAAAGCACCUGAUGCAGCAGAGACCGAUGGUCCACUGUACAACACCAAAUGUCAUGAAUGACUCUUGACCCAGUCUCAGAAAGGUUGUGCUUCCUUUCCCAUCCCGGAGGAUUGCCGGUGAGGUUUGAAAAGAAGGAUUUCUGUGAGUGUAAGCACCCAAGCUGAAGUGGAAGUGACCAUGCAGAAUCUUCAGCUGUGAGAGGACAGGCCUUGCAACUUGGUCCACCUGAGAAAAACAAGAACUUGCCCUCAUCAUCAGCUGGACUCUGCAGAGCUGCUCUGUGACCAAGAACAGAAUUGUGGGCAGUUUUACUUCAUCUCUGUGGUCUUUAAUUUAUGUUGGAUAGAGCAAUGCAUUGCCAUUUGCUUGCCAGGUUGUUAAGACUUCUACCUGCAGUGUCAAAAGCUCUUUGUAAGGUUUUCCAUCUCUUUUUGCUCUAAUACUAGAUAUCAGGACAAUCUGGAAAGUUGUGUUUAAAUGUCCAGCUGCAUUUCCAGGACUGGUGAAAUCUGACAGGCACUUCCUAACAUGAAGCAAACACAUAAGCAAGCAGAAGCAAAGUAUCAUACUCAGAUAUGAGCGGAUUUAUUGGAGAAGAAUCCAUGGUCUAGGCAGUUUGCUGGCAAAACUCAGGUAGACAUUUGGGAUUGCAGGAAGCUUUACCGUUUCCACAGCUCCAAAGUUAUAUCACAUUUCUGUAAUGCCAUACAGCUGCUGGAGGGCUGGUAGUGCUCUCAAAGAUGCUUUAACCUUGCAGGCAGCCGCAGACGGUAUUUUGCAGAACCAGCCUGUGAUAAUGUUUAAGCACAGACCACAGCAUGUGACGAAAUAACUGUUAGCAACUGCCUGAAGAAACCCAUUGAAAUAAGCAGCUGUUUAUUCUGAUGCUUAAUGAGGCAGCAGUUAGAGUGUUGCAAUUUUACACUUAACUGAAACAUUUUAGAGCUCUUGAAAGCAAAUUAAGGUAAACUGGGGUAACAUGAGUCUUGUGUUUAUUUAGAGCUUGCCUUGUGGAGCUCACAAGUGUGAGACUACCCGAGAGGGAGGAGGAGUUGAACCGCAAGACAGUAAAGCUUG